AAUCAAGUCUAUUUUUUCCGUUUCUCGAAGGAAAUUCAAAUUUUCAUAUGCCAUGGAAGUAUUUCAAAGUGCAUUGUAUUUACUUACUUAUACGGAAUAUAACCACGAAAAGGUAAAAUAGUAAUUUUAAUAACACUUUGAAACUGGAUAUAUAGUCUCAUUUGACUCUUAUCAGUAGGUAAGCUCUCCUCACGCGGCUUGUACCGGUUCUCACUCACUCGCUUCCUCUGCUUAUAGUAAGGUUUUGAGACGUGGGUGGGACGUAGGGAGAAGAAUGAGCAAUGGCUGGUGCAGGGAAGAGCGUGCAGGGGGAAGGUCAUCCUCAACCGUUCACCUUUAUUCUCCCUUGUCCUAGCUCUGUUUUCUGUUCAUUCUAGUCACUAUAUAUCGGCAAUGUUAAUUGGAAAUCGCAAUAGUACAGUUUUAAUCUAUUUGUAGGAUUAUUCUCGUUUCAUCAAUUCAUUAUGUAAGAAAGAUGGUCUUGUUAACGCUUAGGUUUAUUACAAGAAGCAAGUAUCUUAAAUCUAAGAAUAUUAUGUAUGUCUCAGAAUUAAUUCAUAUUUCUUCUCUUGUAUGAAUAUCUAUGUCAAUAUAAUAACCAGUAUGAAUAUUCUUCAAAUGUUAGGUCAUCGUCACAGUUCAUUUCAUUAUCUUGACACCCAGCUUCAUAAUCAUUAUAUGUAUUAAUCUUGAUAUAAAUAAUGAUUAAUCUUAACAUCUUCGCGAAAUUAAGCAUCUUACCAAACUUGAAUCCUAUUUGUUUCGGAAUGAAUUCACACUCUCCCGCUUCUAAAGAGGAUUUUAUAUCAUCUUCUGACAUUAGUGGUUUAGAAAAAAAAGCCUGUUUGUAAAGAUUAUAUUUAUUGUUCCGGGACCAGCCUUUUCAUACAUUUUUCUUAUUUGAGUUACAGUCGGUCUUAUAUAUAUAUAUAUAUAUAUAUAUAUAUAUAUAUAUAUAUAUAUAUAUAUAUAUAUAUAUGUAUAUAUAUUUAUAUAUCUAUAUAUCUAUAUAUAGAUAUAUAGAUAUAUAUUUCGUUAAUAAUAAUAAUACGGAUGAUCAUAUACUUUUCGGACGAUGGUUGGACGUAAAGGCGUCUUUUCAGCAAUGACAUAUAUAUAUAUAUACAUAUAUAUAUAUAUUGUCACGGGCCGCGUUUCGUAAUGGGUCAUUCAUAGUUGCCGCGUUCGUGAAGAUGAUUAUUAUUUUUUUUUUUUUUUGUUACGAAUUCAUUUUCAUUUCUGUUCCUCAAUGGAAGUUCCAUACGAUCUUUGAUAUCAAGUAUUGUCUAAUCUUUAAUGAGUUGUUUGCAACUGAAUGCAUUUAUGACCAUUUUCUUACAUCAAUGCUUCGGUAAUUUUAUUGUCUUUUUUGUCUUUCUUUCGUUUUUUUUUUUUUUUUAUUAAAUUCUAUCAAUAUAAUCAAUAUAUACAUUCUUAACAUUUUACUUUUACGUUUCUGCUGUUUUGCAUUCUUAUAUUAAUGCAAUCACCAAUAUGUUCGCAAAUAUCAAUUUCCUCAUCAUGUAACCCAGUUAUAUCAUAUUGCACAUCCAAGAUGCAUUUAAUGAUAAUAAUAAUCACUAUUUUGGGACUGCUUCUUAAGACUGCAAUGAUCGUUGCGAGGGUCCGAAUUCACUCUCAUUUUCUCGGUCGUAGAGUAUAUAUAUUUUUUUCGUCGAGCAAGUACCAUUAAUCUGCCCUUAAUGAUGAUAAUGAUACGGGUGAUCAAUUAUCAUUUUGUGACAGUGAUGAAUGGGAAAGGCCUUCUUCCAAAGAUUAGAAUUGUCGGGACGUGACGCGUUUCGUAAUGGGAAUCGUCGUUGGGUCUUGGCUAAGCUCUUCGUCAAGCAUGUUACUGUUAAGCUUAAAAGAUAAUAUGUGUGUUGAUAUAGAUAAUGAUUUGCUUUCAUUCUCGCUCAUAUAUAUAUAUAUAUAUAUAUAUAUAUAUAUAUAUAUAUAUAUAUAUAUAUAUAUAUAUAUAUGUGUGUGUGUGUGUGUGUGUGUGUGUGUGUGUGUGUGUGUGUGUGUGUGUAUGUGCGUGUGUGUGUGUGUGUAAGAAAUGCUGCCUUCGUAAAGAUUGGAUUUAUUGUUACGAUUUCAUAUCUAUUCCCAUUUCUUAAUGGAAGUUACAUUGAUAAUUCUGUUAUUUUGUCAUUGUUCUAUCAUUUUGUUAUCCUUAUUGUAUCCUUAUCCUUAUCUUUUUAACCCCUUAACCUAUAAAGAGUUCAAAACCGUUGCUUGUUAUGAAACUCAAAAGACCUCAUUAAUCCGAAUCAUAACCUUUAUAAACAAAAUUCUCGUUACAGUGGUAUUAUAAUUGUAUAAAUCACAAUUAAUGUCACGUAUACUCUCUCUUUAUAGCAUCUGAUCUCACUGUUAUAAACUCAACUUUGUAAUCAAGUCCUAUGUAUUUUAGCGUCGCUUAUAGACCAGGUUCUCAAUAUAACCGAAGUGUGAACUGGUUAUAUCUUAUUAUUAGUAUUAUUAGUAUUGAUAUCGUUAUUAUUGUUAUUAUUACUAUCAUUUGUAUAAGUCAAAAAAACUUUAUAAACAUGUUUUCAUCA
rnacentral:lncRNA from 1 species